rnacentral:rRNA from 1 species
UACGGAGGGUGCGAGCGUUGUCCGGAAUCAUUGGGCGUAAAGGGCGCGUAGGUGGCCCGGUCAGUCCGUGGUGAAAGCGCGGGGCUCAACCCUGCGUCGGCCAUGGAUACUGCCGCGGCUCGAGCACUGUAGAGGCAGGCGGAAUUCCGGGUGUAGCGGUGGAAUGCGUAGAGAUCCGGAAGAACACCGGUGGCGAAGGCGGUCUGCUGGGCAGUAUGGCUGACACUGAGGCGCGACAGCGUGGGGAGCAAACAGG